rnacentral:misc_RNA from 1 species
AAGUCGUAACAAGGUUUCCGUAGGUGAACCUGCGGAAGGAUCAUUAACACAAUUUUACUGUGAUAAAAUCCGUUGAAUUCUUCUCGAAUUCAAUGGUAUCCACCCCAUUAUUGACGAACUUUUCUAGAUGUUAAAACAUACAGCUAGUCUUUAUGUCUUUAACAUUCUAAACCUCUUUCUAUAUCCACACAAAUUUAAACCCCUUCUACAACAUGUCUUAGACUGAAAUAAUAAUUUUCUAUCAAAAAUUGAUAAAAACAACUUUUAACAACGGAUAUCUUGGCUCUC